GAUGAACGCUGGCGGCGUGCUUAACACAUGCAAGUCGAGCGAAGCAGUUAAGUUGAUUUCUUCGGAUUGAUUCUUAACUGACUGAGCGGCGGACGGGUGAGUAACGCGUGGGUGACCUGCCCCAUACCGGGGGAUAACAGCUGGAAACGGCUGCUAAUACCGCAUAAGCGCACAGAGCUGCAUGGCUCGGUGUGAAAAACUCCGGUGGUAUGGGAUGGGCCCGCGUCUGAUUAGGCAGUUGGCGGGGUAACGGCCCACCAAACCGACGAUCAGUAGCCGGCCUGAGAGGGCGACCGGCCACAUUGGGACUGAGACACGGCCCAAACUCCUACGGGAGGCAGCAGUGGGGAAUAUUGCACAAUGGGGGAAACCCUGAUGCAGCGACGCCGCGUGAGCGAAGAAGUAUUUCGGUAUGUAAAGCUCUAUCAGCAGGGAAGAUAAUGACGGUACCUGACUAAGAAGCCCCGGCUAACUACGUGCCAGCCGCCGCGGUAAAAC
rnacentral:rRNA from 1 species